CCCUAGUAACGGCGAGUGAAGAGGGAAGAGCUCAAAUUUAAAAUCUGGCGGUCUACGGCCGUCCGAGUUGUAAUCUAGAGAGGUGUUUUCCGUGCCGGACCGUGUACAAGUCCCUUGGAACAGGGCGUCAUAGAGGGUGAGAAUCCCGUCCAUGACACGGACUACCGGUGCUCUGUGAUACACCUUCGAAGAGUCGAGUUGUUUGGGAAUGCAGCUCAAAAUGGGUGGUAAAUUCCAUCUAAAGCUAAAUACAGGCGAGAGACCGAUAGCGAACAAGUACCGUGAGGGAAAGAUGAAAAGAACUUUGGAAAGAGAGUUAAACAGUACGUGAAAUUGUUGAAAGGGAAACGCUUGAAGUCAGUCGCGUCCGCAGGGACUCAGCCUUGCUUUUGCUUGGUGUACUUCUCUGUGGAUGGGCCAGCAUCGAUUUUAGUCGCCGGAAAAGGGCGAGAGGAAUGUGGCAGCUUGCUGUGUUAUAGCCUCUCGUCGUACACGGUGACCGGGAUCGAGGACUGCAGCACGCCUUAUGGUCGGGGUUCGCCCACGCCACGUGCUUAGGAUGCUGGCGUAAUGGCUUUAAACGACCCGUCUUGAAACACGGACCAAGGAGUCUAACAUGCCUGCGAGUGUUUGGGUGUAAAACCCAGGCGCGUAAUGAAAGUGAAAAGUUGGGACUCUUUAGUGAGGCACCGACGCCCGAUCCUGACGUUCUCUGACGGAUUUGAGGCAGAGCAUGUAUGUUGGGACCCGAAAGAUGGUGAACUAUGCCUGAAUAGGGCGAAGCCAGAGGAAACUCUGGUGGAGGCUCGUAGCGAUUCUGACGUGCAAAUCGAUCGUCAAAUUUGGGUAUAGGGGCGAAAGACUAAUCGA
rnacentral:rRNA from 1 species